rnacentral:rRNA from 1 species
AUUGAACGCUGGCGGCAGGCCUACCACAUGCAAGUCGAGCGAGCGGCGGACGGGUGAGUAAUGUCUGGGAAACUGCCUGAUGGCGGGGGAUAACUACUGGAAACGGUAGCUAAUCCCGCAUACCAUCAGAUGUGCCCCGAUGGGAUUAGCUAGUAGGUGGGGUAAAGGCGCACCUAGGCGACGAUCACUAGCUGGUCUGCGAGGAUGACCAGCAACACUGGAACUGAGACACGGUCCAUACUCCUACGGGAGGCAGCGGUGGGGAAUAUGGCACAAUGGGCGCAAGCCUGAUGCAGCCAUGCCGCGGGUGUGAAGAAGGCCUUCGGGUUGUAAAGCACUUUCAGCGAGGAGGCGUUACUCGCAGAAGAAGCACCGGCUAACUCCGUGCCAGCCGCCGCGGUAAUAC